GACAAUAAUAGUUUAUAAAAAAUAUGAAUUUUGUAAUUUCAAGAAGAAAAAUGUCU
rnacentral:tRNA from 1 species